rnacentral:rRNA from 1 species
AUGGACUACAAAAUCGUUGCGCCAUGUCUCGAUAGUAGAAAAGGUGGACUGCUUCUAGUCUGGAAGAAGGAGGUGAGGAUCUACUCCCGGACUACUACCUUUAGUGUCAUCGAUGUGACGGUUGAAGAACAGGAUGGAAGAGAGUGGAGACUCUCAUGCAUAUACGGGGAACCCAGCUGGGAUAAUAAGGACCGUACAUACCGCCUACUAUGGGACUUGCAUGCUCAGUCUAGCCUCCCAUGGGUUGCCAUUGGCGACUUCAAUGAGAUUUUGCUCUCUUCAGAGAAGGAGGGUGGAGCGCCGCGGCAGCAGGUGAGACUCCAAGCCUUCCAAGAUGCGUUGUCUGAUUGUUCCUUGGAGGACAUAGGAUACCAUGGUGAUAAAUUCACAUGGUUCCGAGGUGGUCUGAGGGAACGUUUGGAUCGGGCCGUCUCUAAUGCCGAAUGGAUGGAAAUGCACCCCUUGUGUGGACUGUGCAACCUCGAUAUGGGGAAAUCGGAUCAUAGACCGAUAUGUCUGGACACUAACUACUUGGCCGGCGUGGCAGCCCCAAGGAAGCAGGCAAGACGUGUGUUUGAGGCCCAUUGGUUAUCUGAGGAAACAGUGGAAGAAGUAGUUAAAACAGCAUGGCAAAAAGCGGUCACUCCGGGGUUGUGCCCUUCGGCCAGCUCAAAGCUUGCGGCAGUUCAUAGAGACUUACAUGCUUGGGAUCGCAAAGUGUUGAAAGGGCCACGUGCUCGCCUGCGAACGGCACAGAAGGAGCUAGAAAAUCUAAUGCGCUCAUCGUUUACGGCCGAGACAAGUCUGAAACAGAAGGACCUUACGGUGUUGAUCGAGAACCUGCUCGAGCAAGAAGAAAUAUAUUGGGCACAGCGUGGGCGAGUGAACUGGUUGCACCGAGGAGAUCGCAACACAAAGUUUUUUAAUCAAUCUGCUUCAGCCGUAAUCUAA